rnacentral:rRNA from 1 species
UACGAAGGGGGGCAAGCGUUGCUCGGAAUGACUGGGCGUAAAGGGCGCGUAGGCGGCUCCAUUUGUCAGGCGUGAAAGUCCCGGGCUCAACCCGGGGAUGGCGCUUGGGACGGUGGGGCUGGAGUGGGGAAGAGGGUCGUGGAAUUCCCAGUGUAGAGGUGAAAUUCGUAGAUAUUGGGAAGAACACCGGUGGCGAAGGCGGCUCUCUGGACCGACACUGACGCUGAGGCGCGAAAGCGUGGGGAGCAAACAGG